GCAUAAGUGCCAGAUUAAAUGGGUUGAUUUUAAGCGUCAAUUAUAGGAUGUUACGAUUCCUCAUAUGUA
rnacentral:tRNA from 1 species